rnacentral:rRNA from 1 species
UACAGAGGGUGCGAGCGUUAAUCGGAAUUACUGGGCGUAAAGCGUGCGUAGACGGUUAUUUAAGUCGGGUGUGAAAGCCCCGGGCUCAACCUGGGAAUUGCAUUCGAGACUGAAUAGCUAGGGUACGGUAGAGGGAAGCGGAAUUUCCGGUGUAGCGGUGAAAUGCGUAGAUAUCGGAAGGAACAUCAGUGGCGAAAGCGGCUUCCUGGACCAGUACCGACGUUCAGGCACGAAAGCUUGGGGAGCAAACAGG